rnacentral:lncRNA from 1 species
GGAGUUACAAUCAUUGUACUUCAGAAUUAUUGCAAUAACAUACUAUUUUCCUUCUCCAUAAAACUAUGAGCAUAUGACAUGUAUUCCCAUAAAGAUUUUAGGGGAAAGCAUUUUCCUUAACGUUGUUGUUCUUCAAAUGAUAAUUGAUAAUAUCUGACCAGACCUCAAUCUGCAAAAGUGAAUAAACUCAAUUAUAACUAUAUAGUACGCAAUUUUAAUGUAUUAUAGUCACUAAAAUUCAAUGAAGAAAAAUGUUCCUAAUAAAAAUUACCCAUUUCUUCAUUUCGGCAUUUUCCUUUCGCAUUUUUGCUAGCGAAAUUUUUUUGGCUAUGAUUUCUUCAUAUAACUUGGGAGUACAAUGUGAACAAACUACAUGAUUGAGCCUUUCACGUAGUAGCUCAUUUUGAUGGAAGAUUUGUACAUUAUGAAGACGAAGUGUACCACUAUCUCUCCUACAGCUAAUUAAGAAAAUUUUAGGAUAACUAGCACAAAUGAAGGAAAAUGAAAGAAGAAAUAUAAAUAUAAGUGGAAGCUCACUCUUUAAGUCCAUAUUUUGGCUUAGGACCUUGACUCCCAGAUGCCAUUGAAUAAGAGUUAAAGUUGAAAGAAAAUACAAAUUAUUUAAUAAUCUUUCAAACUUUGUGUGAUCACUAAAUCUUC